AUUGAACGCUGGCGGCAUGCCUUACACAUGCAAGUCGAACGGCAGCAUGGGUGCUUGCACCUGAUGGCGAGUGGCGAACGGGUGAGUAAUGCAUCGGAACGUACCCGGAAGUGGGGGAUAACGUAGCGAAAGUUACGCUAAUACCGCAUAUUCUGUGAGCAGGAAAGCGGGGGAUCGCAAGACCUCGCGCUUCCGGAGCGGCCGAGGUCGGAUUAGCUAGUUGGCGGGGUAAAGGCCCACCAAGGCAACGAUCCGUAGCGGGUCUGAGAGGAUGAUCCGCCAAACUGGGACUAGGACACGGCCCAGACUCCUACGGGAGGCAGCAGUGGUGAAUUUUGGACAAUGGGGGCAACCCUGAUCCAGCCAUGCCGCGUGAUGGAAGAAGGCCUUCGGGUUGUAAAGCUCUUUCGGCCGGGAAGAAAUCGCACAGGUUAAUACCUUGUGUGGAUGACGGUACCGGAAUAAGAAGCACCGGCUAACUACGUGCCAGCCGCCGCCGUAAAAC
rnacentral:rRNA from 1 species